UACGAAGGGGGCGAGCGUUGUUCGGAAUCACUGGGCGUAAAGGGCGCGUAGGCGGCCCUCUUAGUCGCGUGUGAAAGCCCCGGGCUCAACCUGGGAACGGCGCGCGAAACGGGAGGGCUGGAGUUCGGGAGAGGAGAGUGGAAUUCCCAGUGUAGAGGUGAAAUGCGUAGAUAUCGUAAGGAAGACCAGUGGCGAAGGCGGGUCUCUGGACAGUUCCUGACGCUGAGGCAC
rnacentral:rRNA from 1 species